GCUUGCUUCUUUGCCGGCGACCGGCGCACGGGUGAGUAACACGUAUCCAACCUGCCCUUUACUCGGGGAUAGCCUUUCGAAAGAAAGAUUAAUACCCGAUAGCAUAAUAAUUCCGCAUGGUUUCAUUAUUAAAGGAUUCCGGUAAAGGAUGGGGAUGCGUUCCAUUAGGUUGUUGGUGGGGUAACGGCCACCAAGCCUUCGAUGGAUAGGGGUUCUGAGAGGAAGGUCCCCCACAUUGGAACUGAGACACGGUCCAAACUCCUACGGGAGGCAGCAUG
rnacentral:rRNA from 1 species